rnacentral:lncRNA from 1 species
ACCGGCCGAUGACCGACCUAGGCCGGACUAGCUGGGUGGGAGAGAACUUUUUUGAGGGUUUUUUUUGUUUUUUUAAAACAGAAUGAAAAUGCGGCCGAUGACCGACCUAGGCCGAACUAGCUGGGGGGAAGAGAACUUUUUUGAGGGUUUUUUUUGUUUUUUUAAAACAGAAUGAAAAUGAAUUUUUUUAACUAAAUUUUGGCUUAUAUAACCUACUGAAAACGGCACCGUUUGGACUUGGACCGACCCGAAUCCGACCCAACCCGGCCUGGGAUCCGCGUGUUUUCAAGCGGAGAGGUAAAUUGCGCUUUAGCCCCUCCGCCUUUUAAUGUUCUUACAAUUGGGUUUUUUUUUAAAUUUGCCCCUUUAAUUUGUUUUCAAUUUCAAUUUGGUCCAACUUGCAACGGCGCCGUUUUAGAGGAGAAGGGAAAAAUUUCCUUUCAGUCCCUCUAUGUAAUUCGCACGCUCAAUUUAGUCCUUGUGACUUCACUUAUUUGCAGAUUUGUCCCCUAGAUUUUCAUUUGCAGUUCAAUUUAGUCUUUUUUUAUUUUUUUAUUUUUCUUAAAAUUAAUUAAUUUCAAU